CGACGGGUGGCAGCAGUGGGGAAUAUUGCACAAUGGGCGCAAGCCUGAUGCAGCCAUGCCGCGUGUGUGAAGAAGGCCUUCGGGUUGUAAAGCACUUUCAGCGGGGAGGAAGGCGUUAAGGUUAAUAACCUUGGCGAUUGACGUUACCCGCAGAAGGAGCACCGGCUAACUCCGUGCCAGCAGCCGCGGUAAUACGGAGGGUGCAAGCGUUAAUCGGAAUUACUGGGCGUAAAGCGCACGCAGGCGGUCUGUCAAGUCGGAUGUGAAAUCCCCGGGCUCAACCUGGGAACUGCAUUCGAAACUGGCAGGCUAGAGUCUUGUAGAGGGGGGUAGAAUUCCAGGUGUAGCGGUGAAAUGCGUAGAGAUCUGGAGGAAUACCGGUGGCGAAGGCGGCCCCCUGGACAAAGACUGACGCUCAGGUGCGAAAGCGUGGGGAGCAAACAGGAUUAGAUACCCCGGUAGUC
rnacentral:rRNA from 1 species